GGGGGGGGCUUCCGUGGUCUGGAAGGAAAGGGGCAUUUUGGCUUGCACUCAGCACUAGGAUUUAAGGUUGGUGUUUACGAGAGGCGUUGUGAUGUGAGGGGAUUAGCCGAUUGGGGAGUAGUUUUAACCGCAAAGCUUGGCUGCCUUUCGAGCUCCUGUGCACGCGACGCAAAGGAUCAGAACCACCGCGCACGGGAACGGCACCUCGCCGGCGUUCCUUAUUCGCUAGCUCUACUAUAGACGCGGUCUAUACACCUAUGCCAAGAUUCGUGCCGUCCAUACCCGGCCUGUUUGGGAAACUAAUAAAUGUUUACAGACAUGCUGUACAAAUAAAUGGUGUAGUUUGUCAAAAUUAGAAACUUAUCUGGAAUUGUAAAAAAAUCGAUUUUCCAAAUACAAAAGACGAAACAAAUCCUCAUAUUCCGGAAAUAGUAGCACGAGAAUAUAAAUGACCCGAAACGUCCACGUCACCGGAUGCCGCGAGCCGACGGCCUGGAUGGAAGGAAGCAUGGAGAGCUGGGCCCUUCUACAGAAGCAUGAAGAAGCCGGCCCAUCCCUGGCCCAAGGCCUCGUGAAGGCGUGAAGCAGGACGAAUGGUUUGCCUAUCGAGGCAUGUGGUUGGUUCCCCCAAGUGGUCCCGUGCGCCUGACUGCUCGCCGGUGCUGGACCCAGACAAGACCACCGCGUCGGUCUCACCACGUCGCCCUCCGGGUAAUCUCUACGGAGACGGAGAUGUGAUGUCCCGUGCGCCGGGUGCACCAAGUCACCCGCCGACCGCCGUGUCCCGUCCCGUGUGAGCACGGUAAACCGGGAGAAGGCCUAAUCAUGUGUGCCCUUGCAAUUUGGGCCCCACACACGUGUUCUGGAGGGAGACCCGCGGUACGAUCCCUGGGCGCUCCAACUCUGCGUGUCACCCUGUGGCCUUGAAACUUUGCUCUCCCUCCUUCUCUCUCUCACUCUGCCGAGAUGAGAUGAUGGCGAGCUGAAUAGCAUGGUGAUCGAGCUGAAGCAUCAUCACCUUCGAACCUAACGAUGCCUUUUUGGUUCCUCUCACACAAUUGUGUGUCCGAAAUCAUGAGGCUCGCAACGCUCGUGCACAUAAACGUAGUGUACUGCUCAUGUUCACUUCUCAAAAAUCAAAAUCAGUUUUUUCUUUGACAAACCAAGGAAUCAUUACUUAUUUGGCAGAUACGAAAUUACGUAGACGUUGCCUUUGUCCGAUUCAGAAUGUAUUUACGGGCAACUAUUUCUUUCAAAAUCAUAAUUAUGGGAAAGUGUGUUAAUUCUCAAAAGUUUUCUUAGGACAAUAUCUUUUGUUAUCUAUGUGCAAUUGAAAAGAAAGACA
rnacentral:lncRNA from 1 species